rnacentral:lncRNA from 1 species
AAAGAAUUCCUCCUAAGUCACUAGCUUUUGGCUCUAUCUCCUGAGUGGCAGGUUCUGUCUUGUCUCUCUGAGAUCCUGACUCUUUAAAUAAAGGUUACUUAACCCUAUACCUCUUGCUAGGCAUCUCUUGUCUGAAUUCCUUCCUCCAAGAAGACUAAGAACUGGAGGAUUUCCAUGCCUCUCACAGUGACAGUGCUACCCAAACAUCAGGGUUGUCAUCUAGGCCCCCUGCCCUGCACAGAAAGCCAAUCACCAACAGCAGUGCCAGGGAAGAAGGCCUCAUUCAAGUGCUACAGCCCAGAGAUGGGCGCUCAGUCACAAAUCCCUCUCCUCAGCCCACUAAAAUUAGAAGUUUCCAGAGCAGGGAAGAAAUGUCACCCUGUGUGGGAAAACAGGAAUUAGGGAGAGUGAGGAGGCAGCUAGGCAGUCAUGACUGGUGAGGGGUCUGGCCUCAAGGACCUACUGAGUUUCAGCGCCUUGAUACUGUCUGGGAGGCCCGAUGGUUGGUUUCCUGAGAAAGGAGCUCAGAUAAGACAAAUGUAACUUUCCCAAGUUUUAAGACAGGGUGGGCCAAUUUCUAUGUUUAUUCAAAAGAAACCCUAAAUACUAGUUUUACGAGAAAUUGGGCCCAUGUGAGUAGGCCCCAAAGGGCAAUCCACAGGUGGUGUUCUCCACCCUGCUUUCUCCUCUCAACCCUCUGUAUAGAGGCCCUCUGUUAACACAGGCAGGAGCAGGAAUUUCACACUCUUUUCCUUUCUUUGCUUUCUUCUUUGUCUUUUUUUUUUUUUUACAGUUGUGAUAUAGUUUGGAUCUGUGUCCCCACCCAAAUCUCAUGUUGAAUUGUAAUCCCCAGUGUUGGGGGUGGGGCCUGGUGGGAGGUGAUUGGAUCAUAGGGGUGGUCCUUCAUGAAUGGUUUAGCACUAUCCCUUUGGUGCUGUUCUUGUGAUGGAGUUCUCACGAGAUCUGUUUUUUUUAAAAGUGUGUAGGCAACUCCCUUUCUUCCUCCUGCUCAGGCCACGUAAGAGGUGCCCGCUUCCCCUUUGCCUUCCAUCAUGAUUGUAAGUUUCCUGAGGCCUCCCCAGAAGCCAGCACCAUGCUUCCUGCACAGCCUGUGGAACUGUGAGACAAUUAAACCUCUUCUCUUUAUAAAUUGCCCAGCCUCAGGUAUUUCUUUAUAGCAAUGGGAGAAAGGACUAAUACAAGUUGCAUCAUAUUCCAUGGCCUGGAUGUACCAUAGUUAAUUUAAAUAGCCUCCUUGAAUGAACAUUUGUGUUGUUCACAGUGUUUUUAUAUCUCACAUGUCAAAGUCAAAUACAUUAUAGGAUGAAUCUCUAAACGUUUUAUUCAGGAAUCACAGAAUUGUAAUUCUGGGCGUACACAGACCAGAAAUGUGUUUGGUGUGUCUGACGAACAAAGAGAAGGUUGAAAGUUUUAUUUAAGAAAUGUUACCUAUUGUUUAGAAAGAAAACUUGUGGGCCCUGGUAGAGGUUUGGGGAGCUGGCAGGCUCUGAUGGGUGAGUGACACAGUAGGUAGACCUUGUCUUUGAGUCACGGCAGGUCGUUCCAGCAGCUGUUAGGUGCACCUGAUUGUAAAGUUGCAGCAGGCGUUUCAGCACUUGGGCUUGCAGAUGGUUCUUGGAGCAGGUGCUGUCUGCCUGAGUGGUUUUCCUCUGGCCCUCUGCCUUGACUUAGUCGGGUAUGACCAGAAUAACUCAAUUUAUGAAGUCAACUUUCAUAUACAUGACGCUGCAAUUGUCCCUAAUGUCAUUCCUUACAUAUACCAUUAUACCACAGCUUUCCAGAAAUGAGAUCAAGGGACAAAAGUUAAAUAUAUUUGCAGUUUAUAUGAGUAUUGCCCAGUUGCUCUAUCUGGUCUUUGGACAAUUUUGUCAUUGAGGAGUGAGUGCUUGUUUUCAUGGUGGUGUCAGAAAGAAUGUCCUCUUAUUUACUCUUUGGAUUUUCACCAAUGUGACAGAUGAAAAUGAAAAUAGUAUCCGGGUGUAUUUUUAAUUUGCAUUUUUAAAUUAUAAGUGAGCUUGAGCACUUGAUAUGGUUUGAUAUGUUUGAUAUGGCUAGUGGAUAUUUGCAUUUUCCUGUGAUCUCUCUAUUUAUGUCUCUCGUCCAUUUUCCCGUUUAACAGACAUUGCUUAACAGAAGACAAUAUUUGAGUUGCUGACCAAUCCCGAAAUAGUUGUGAGGUAUGAUAUCAGCAGGACUUGUUUUCCGAGCCUUGAUCAUGACCCUGUGAUCAAAACAGGAUAUAACAAAGAAACUGGCCCAAACCAGCUAGGACCAAGAUGGUGACAUAAGUGACUUCUAGUUGCCCUCAUUGCUCAUUAUAUGCUAAUUAUAAUACAUUCUCAUAAGACACCACAUCAGCACCAUGACAAUUUACAAAUGCCAUGGCAAUGACCCAGAAGUUAUAUGGUUCAUAUAUGAUGCCAAAAAGGCUCAUUACAAUGGAUCUUGGGAGUAAUUUUUCAAGGAAUAUGAACAAAGUCUUCCCUCUGUGGUUAAUUCAUGAAUGCUGUGUUGGAAUAUUCUGGAUGGUCCAGACUUUCCUCUGUAAUCGACGUUGAGCCCUGCACAACUUCAGGAGGGCGCCAGACCUCACUACUCUCAAGGAAAAGGCUGAAGUGGAGGAAUUGAUUCCCACUGAUUUUUUUUUUUAAUUUUUUUGAGACAGAGUCUUGUUCUUUCACCAAAGCUGGAGUGCAGUGGCAUGAUCUCGGCUCACUGCAACCUCUGCCUCCCAGGUCCAAGUGGUUCUCCUGCCUCAGCUUCCCGAGUAGCUGGGAUUACAGGCAUGAGCCACCAUGCCUGGCUAAUUUUAGUAUUUUUAGUAGAGACAGGGUUUACCAUGUUGACCAGUCUGGUCUCGAACUCCUGACCUCAAAUGAUCCGUCUGCCUCAGCCUCCCAAAGUAUAGGGAUUACAGGCGUGAGCCACUCCACCUGACCUUGAUUUUAUUUUUAACCAUCCUGUCUGAGAGAUUAUUUGUGGAGGCUGACAGCAGAUGUGCAGGGUUCAACAGUGCAGUAUGCUGCAUUUCUUCAGCUAUACCUCAUAUUGUAAAGACUGUCCAGGUAACUCAACAAGCGGGAGGUAAGGGUUGCAGGUGGGAUACUGUAGUACACCCCAUUGGUCUAAAGGCACAUUUCCUUCUUUUCCACCCACUGUUGCAGUCCAGCCAGGCAUAACUUUAGGAGAAUGUGGUUAGGUAAACAUGUGCCAUUUGGCACAGGGAUAUUUGAAUUUCCUGGCAUGAGGAGUGGCGGGACUUGGACUAGCUAACCAUGAGAGUGAGUUAGUAGAGAUGUGGAUGCCGUCAUGCUGAUGGCCUGCUCAGAGUAGCACUGGGCUGUAUUCGCCCAAACACCCAACAGAGCCUGGCCAAAUGCAAGGCCCAGUCCGGUCUGGGGACUUCUCUGGAAUGCCUGUGCCAGUAUAACCGGGAAUGUCCCUCAAACAGAGAGAAGCAAAUUAUUAUCUCUUACUGAGCCCUUUGCUAAACAAGAAGCAGAGCCAUGUGGACCUAUGAGAGAUCUGGAGACACAACAUUCCCCAUUGAGGAAUACACCGCCCUUGCUAUUCUGAAUUCAAAUGGGUCCCUGAACCAAUAAAAGCAUGAAUGUAUUUUCAAGAGGUGGUGCAUGCAGCUUCAUGCAGGCCUCCUGAGCCAGUCGUCCAGAUGUGGUUAGGAAUGUCUGCUAUCAGGACACUUGCUGCCUGGGAACCCUUGGCAGAGGCCAGCACUGCCACCCAGCAGGGACCUCUGGUGUGUUGCAGCUGCUCCUCAAAUGCCUCUGGAAGACAAUAGCAACUUACGACUUCCUUACCAGGAAACAGCAUCAGAUAGCCUUCAAACCAGAAAUGCCUCUCAUGUCUUGAUGUCAGAGAACCAUUCUACCAAGAGGAGGAGCAGCCCAGCAAAGUCCAUCAAACGGUGAGAGUAUAUUCCAGAGCAGGGGGCAGGAGGACGUUAGGGGAGCCUGUGGCUUCUGCAGCAGAGGCAAUAGCAGAAGGAGAGGAGAGGGAGGAGCAGAAGGAGAGCAGAGGGAGAGCAGAGGGAGGAGCCUUCAAGGGCUGCUGUGUGUUCGGAGCCCAGCUAAAGCCAAGCAGGCCUCUGAGCUCCCUGCUAGGAGUUCAUGUCUGCAGGGCAUGUGGCUGCUUGGAAAUUAGCCAUGUAGACCUCACAGUCUGUCUUUGCCAGAGAAAGGCAGGGCAAACCAUAUUAUACACCUUUAUAACAUUGUUUCAAAUCCAGAAGUGUGAUGCCUCCACCGUUGUUUUUCUUUUUCAAAAUUGCCUUGGCUAUUUUUUUUUUUUUUUUUUGUGGUUCCAUGCCGAUUUUGGAUUUUUUUUCUUUUCUCUCUUUUUUGAUGGGGAGGGAUGGAGUCUCACUUUGUUGCCCAGGCUGCAGUGCAGUGGCACAAUCUUGGCUUACUGCAACCUCUGCUUCCCGGGUUCAAGGGAUUCUACCACCUCAGCCUCCUGAGUAGCUUGAGACUACAGGCGUGUGCUACCAUGCCCGGCUAACUUUUGUGUAUUUAGUAGAGUUGGGAUUUUGCCAUGUUGGCCAGGCUGGUCUUGAACUCUUCACCUCAGGUGAUCCACCCACCUCGGCAUCCCAAAUUGUUGGGAUUACAGGCGUAAGCAAACGUGUCCAGCCAGAUCUUUCUUCUAUUUCUGUGAGAAAUACCACUGAAAUUUUGAUAGGGAUCCCAUUGAAUUUGUACAUUGCUUUUGAUGGGAUUACUAGAGAAACAGGAGUGUAGGAGAGCCAGAGUGACGCCAUUUUAAAGCCAAUUCCAUUUUAAAACAAGCAAGGCAAUUCCUUGCCAGUCACAGCCCAUGGUCACAGGUGUUGACAGCUAAGGAGGGAGUUUAGUAAUGCCUGCAAGGACUAACUCCUACAGCAACAAAAUGUCCAAAUGCGCCAAUAUCUAAUAACAAUAUGUGCUUUUAAAAUAAUUAGAAUCAUGCUUUGAUGUACUUACUCACUAAAAUCCCAAGGAUAGUUUACUUUAAAUCAACAAAGUAAUAAGUUUUGUCACGCUGUCAACCCACCCACACAUAGACUUAACUUAGCUUUUACAUAGAUAAGACCCCUACAUGAGAGGAGUUUAAAACAAAGACAAUGCGUUCCUCCUCUUGUUUUCUGAGGAUGCCCUACUCUGCAUCUGAGUAGCUUUCAAUAAAUGAUCUCUUCUCACUGCACUCUGUGACUCACCUGAAUUCCUUCCUGUGCAAGACUGAAAAACCCUCUUCCAGCAACAUCUUUCUGGCGAUGCACUAAGGGACCAUAAGAUGAGACUAUGUGCUGGGGAAGUUUUGUCUGCAGCACCAGUUGGCCACCUCUGGUAAAUGGGGUCCUUCUUGGCAUCCUAUGUCAUGCUUAGACAAGGAUGCUCGCCUAGAAACUCAGGUUAGAGGCUCAGCCCACAAGGUUAGAUGCCCUGGGGUAUAUCUGGAACAAUGGAAGUCUCUUUGCAAGAUGUUUGUCAGUACAUGAUCUGAACUAAUCCACCUUGUGCCCUCUGCUGGGGAUGGGAAAGCUCUACUUCUCAUCAUUUCCCAGCUCAUUGCUUUGCUGUACUGCAGCCUUGGGGCAGCCCCAAAUGGCUGGUCCAGAGGUUUCCACCUUCCAGUGGCGGAUUCUAAUGUUCUUUAUGUGUUUCUCUCUGUUCUUUUCUGCCUGCUUUGGAUCUGCUGUUACUAAUCUGCUGCCGAGUGGCAACUCUGCUUAUCUCACGGUGUUGAGGUGAGACUCACUGUUUUUGGUAUUACUAAUUCAAGGCUACCUGGAGAUUGUCUUUUCUUGUACAGUUCAGCCAGUUCUGGCUAAAAUGUAUACAUUAAAAACUCAUUUAAAACUGAAGAAAAAAAUGAUGAAAAGGUUUUUUUUUUUUUUAAACCAAACUUCCUUAAAGACUACUUUACCAAAACUUUGGUCCACAGCUUUCCUUGGAUUGCGUGUUGGAUGUCUGGGUCAUUUCCAAUUAAGAAAAGUUUAUGCUAUGGGAAACAUGUUUCUAGAAUUGUGGAAGGGUCUUAUCUAUAAAGUGCUAACAUCUGGCAAACAGUGCAGGAUCUCUUGCUUCCUCAGUUUUCCCACUCACGGAUGAGCGAGUGCGCUUAGCUGUCCCUUCCCUUCCCUUCCCGCUCUGGUUUCCUGUAUGCAAUGUGCUCAGCCUUCCAAGCCUUGGGACACACAGGGAUGCUCAUGCUCCUUUAUGUUCCCCUAGGGACUAGGGGUUAGUGGACCUCACCCAGAGGUGUGGGAUCCUUUGGGUUCUGUCUGCUGGGGAGCCUGGAGCCGGGGAUCCUCCAGGUCAGCCACCAUCCUGUUACAUGGGGCUCUUCAGCCUUUCGGGUCCCAGGGCUGCAGUGCCACCCCAGUGGAAAGCCCAUUUGAGACUCAGAGGGAUAUUUGCCAGCAUGUCCUGCUGGGUCUCCCUCGUCCCCUUCAUUGGCUGCAUAUUUGCUGUCUGUGCCUCACUAGUGAUGCCCGUCAUCCUGAGCUUGCAUGCUCUGAAGUUUAUGCCUGCCAUUUUCCUUCUCCUGGUGAUUUUCUUUCUUUGGGUUAUUUAAUUCAGCAUGUCUCUGGGCAGCAUUGGAGGCCAAAAGCCUCCCAGGAACUAGUCUUAUUGAGAAGAAAAAUAAUUUUGUCUAAUUCAGAAGUUAUCUAAAGGUCAAUUCAAAUGAUGAACUUGAAAAUAGUUACUUAUGAAGCAAGGUAGAAAGGAGCCAGUAAGUAGGGGAGCGAGAGAUGUGAAUAAAAGUUAUGGAUAUGAAGAUGUAUUUUUGGUAAGGAAGGUUAUAAAGAAUAGCAAAUAAUGUAUGAAAAAGGAUCUCGUGUGGUAAAUUUUUGUCCUAAAGUAAAAUGACUAAUGAUUAUUAGUCAUUAGCCAUUAAUAUGACUAUUAUUAUUAGUUAUUAGUCAUUAAUGACUAAAUGAUUAUUUAGGAAAGAGAGAAGGUUAGGGCAAGGCAGAAAGUCCAAGCACAUCUAAGAUGGUCUGUGUACACUGGGAUAAAGUUCGUGAAGGGGAAUUUAUGAAAGGAAUUUUGUAUAUGAUUAAGUUGGUUAUAAUUGAAAGGAAGCCAUUUAUAACAGUCUUUCUAAAAAUUGGUCGCCUACGUUAAAACAAAGUUUUCUUGAGGUACUGAUUUGCUGUGAAUGAAGUUACAAGAAAUUUUACUUUCAAUUUUAUACCCCGUUUCUCUUCUAAACUUCUCAGAUCCAUAUUUCCGACAUUCCAUUUUUUCUGUCUCACUGCUUUCAGCUUUUUCCCCCUUGAGCAGGCCUGAGAUGAUGACCUUCUCCUUCAGCAUUUUUUGUCAGCUCCUGCACCCCUUUUUUCCUCCAGUUUUAACUGUUGGAAUGACCUGAUGCUAAAGUUUUAUCUUGAAGGUCUAGAAAAGCAAUGUUUUCUUCUAGUAUAACUUGAUUUUAUAUUCUUGGCUUUUCUUGCUGUGUCUAAAUUUUCAGUGUAAUCAGAAAACUUCUCAUGCUGUUCCUAAGGGUCACAUAUGCUCAUAACCUUAAACACUGUUCCUGUGUCUGAUUGCAUUCAAGCACUUCUUUCCUCAAGUUUGUCUUCCAGGUUAUCUAAAUGGGCUUCCUGUAAGAAGAAGCGGUCUCACUGCAGAAGGUUUUCCCUGCCUUUUUAUUAGCUGGCUUAAAAAAAAACAAGAUUUUAUGUUUUUUUCACGAUAAUUCCUAUACUGUCUUUAUUAGCUUUAUGAUUGCAAAAAAACUGAAAGUUAAAAGGGUUAAGGUUUUUACCUCCAUGUGACUUUCUCUAUUGCUUGUUAAAGUCUUUAUGAUUAUUACUCUUGGUUAAGUGUAUAACUAUUACAAUGACCUGUGAUUUUAUGUUAAUAAAAUGUUUUGAGCCUUUUAACAUCUUAGAGAAAUAUCCUCAAAAUCAAAAUCUUAAAUUUAGUCUCUGAUUUAGUCUUAUUGCUGGGGCUUAUUAAGCCUAUAGAAAUUAAUCUCUGCAAGGUCAUAGACUCUUUCUAGAACUUUCUGGCAGACCAUGAAGUCCAGUAUCACCACCUCCAGCCUGAAAAUUAUAUAUUGGAAGAAAAAUCAGUUAAAGGAUUCCCUCAGCCCCCUUGAAGCUGUCCUUAUCAAGAGUUAUUAACCAAUGCUUGUGCUUAGUUAAUAACCUGUUGUAGGGCUUUGACUCCUGGACACACAUAUCUAAAGAUGGCACUGACUUCUACCAGUAUCUGACAAAAACUCAAGUUAACUGAAGGCUCGUCUUUAGACCUGGGCAAAGGGGACAACGUAAACUGCUUUCAUGAGACACAAGGACAGGACAAUUUGCUGAGGUCUGCGAGCUGCCCCUCCAGAGAAUCCCUGCUCUCCCAAAAUUUGGUCAAGAUCUCAAGUUUAUUUUGGUGUACAACUCCUUUAUUUUGGAGUUUUACUUUCUUCCAACAAGGAAGGGAAGUUUUCCUGCUUCCGUGAUAAUGGAAGGCAGGUAACUCCUUUAUGGAGUUUGAGCUCACUUCCAACAGCGAAGAUGAGAUUUUUCCUGCUUCUAGGAUGGUGGAGAGCAGUCUUCAGCCUGAGACCCAUCCCUGGUCUUUUGCCCAUUGGGUUUAAUCAACUCUAUCCAACUUGAUCAACUCUGAAGGGAAGUUCCAAAUUAUGGGGAACAAGGCCUCUGAAGUGACUAAAUUCCACCCCCCGCCUCCCCUCCACACACACACACAAAAGGUGGUAUGGUUGGGGGAGAAAAACAGCCAGCAAAAGGAGAAAAAAAGGAAAGAUUUUUGAUUUUGACUACUAAAGGGGUUUUAUUUACAGAACAAGGCCACUUUUUUGCUAGCAGGCCAAACUGAAACAAUGGCAGUUGCCCCACGCUGUAGUUCCAUACCUAAGGCUCUGCUUUCUUUUCACCAUGAGAGCCUGGGUUUGGUGGGUUUGGUUCCUAAAUCAAGCCCUUUCUGGUUUGAUACUUGGUACCUCUGAAAUAGCAGCAAUUUUUUCUGACUAAAAUACGGUAAUGAAAUUUAAAUGGAUUAUUUUAAAAAGAGCUCAAUGGUUAAAAGUCAGUUUAAUUAAAAGGCUAACAUCCAAGAUGUACGUGUGUGUGUGUGUGUGUGUGUGCGUGCACGCAUAUGUGUAUGUUUGUCUUUGAAAGGUCUUCAUGUGUUUGUUUUUUGGUUGUUUUUCUCCUCUAGGACCUUGCCUUUUUUUUUUAGCAAAAGUUUUUUUCUUCUCAGUUGACUGAAUUCUGUUAUUACCUGAUUGUUUGACUAAAAUAGAUACUGCACAGAGGCUACUCUGGGGUUUUUAAGGAAGAGUGUAGUUUAGACACUUAAAAAUGUCUUUGUUUAAAACUAUUUUUUAAGUGCACUGUAAAAGCAUCACGUUGUCUAGCCUCAUAAUAAUUCACCCUUUUUGGAGACCCAGGAUUCAGUGUGGGCUCUACCCAGAGCUCAGAUAUCUGGUUAAAAAAAGAAAAACAGGUAGUCUCUAUCUAAAUAAAAUCAGUCUUCCUAUGUAAUCCAACAAUAAAUUUCUGUAAUUUUAUUACUGAGUUGGCAUCCAUCUUUAAUCUUUCUCUAGCACCACCAGACAUUUUCUCUGUGUACCUGAUAAUGUAAAUUUUGCUAUUUGACUUUCACCUGAUAUGCAGAUUUAAGGCUAUUUAGCUGACAACUGUCUAGGGUUCUGAAACAGGUUAUCAAGAAUCUGAAAGUCUAAGAUAUGAAAAAAGAGGUUUUUAUGAAUCUAUAAGAUGUACUUUUAUCAGCAUGCCUAAUAUGUCUGUAUUUAUGUGUUGUGUACACAAUGUUUCACUAUGAAAAAUAUAUAAAAGAGCUCUAAUUAAUUGGCUCAAAGUGAAAUAAUUCAAAAAGCAGCUAUAUUCAUUAAAUCAAUAUCAAUGAUUUAUACUUAAUACGUAAAUACUUUAUCAGGAAAAAAGGAAAGAUUAGUCAAAUGCUUUUUCAAGUUUGCAUAACUUAAGUAAAAUUAUUAAUAAAUGAGCUCGCUUUAAAAUUAUUGGUAAAGUAAUAUUAGAAAUGUCAGCAUACAUUUUUGUUUGCAAUUAUUAAUCAAGCAAUUUCAUACUUACCCCUGCCAAAUAGUAUAAGUUGUCAAAAUUUGGCAGAGGGUUUACAAAACUAUAAACCCGGCCCAAAACAUAAUGAUAUUUGCUUGUGUAAUCUUUAAUAAAUAAGUCAUUGAUAUUGAUUUAAUGAAUAUAGUUGCAUUUUGAAUUUAGUAAGAUUAUCAUAACUUCUAAUUCUGUGGCUUUAGGCAGUCUAGUGCACAGGCAGUAAGGAAGUUUGUUUUGAGAAAGGACUGUUAUAGUGUUUGUUUCAAAGCUAAACUAUAAACUAAGUUCCUCCCAAAGUCCAGGAAUGAACAAGGACAGCCUGGAGGUUAGAAGCAAGUUGGAGUUAGUUAGUCAAAUCUUUUUUCCCUAUCUCAGUUAUAAUUUUGCAGUGAUGGUUUCAUAACUUUAAAUCAUGACUAUCACAGUUUUCAUAAACAAUCUAGGUAAACAAGGUAAUUAGGUAAAUGUAAUGUGAUACAUACUUGUAGACAAAUUUGUCAUAAUUUAGAAUAGAAAGUUAUAUUAAAUAAUAGAUAUUUCACUAUUUAGGUAUUUUCCAAUGAAAGUAUAUUGUAGGAAAACAUUCUUGCUAAAAAAAAAAAGGUGUGUCCUUUUUAAAAAAAGGUGAACAAGUUUUAUCUAAUUUAAAGCUUAUUUAAAGGUUAUAUAUAAAACGAGGUAAAAGAACCAGAAAAUAAGAGAGAUGUAAAGAAAGUUAUAAAAAUAAAGAGGUAUUUUUUGUGUUAAGAAAGCUUAAAGAGAAAUAAUUUUAUAUGAGAAAGAAUCUUGUAUGUUAAGUUUAGUCCUAAAAUAAAAUGACUGAUUAAGAAAGAGCAUGUUCAGGACAAAAGACAAAGUCCAGGCAUGUGAUGAAUGCUCUGUAUAAGUCAUAGUAAGAGGAUUUUUUUUUUAAAAAAAAACAAAAAUUUGUAUAUGAUCAAGUUGUUUAUAAGUAAUGGGAAAUUAUAUUGCUCUUCCUAGAGAUUGGGCUUGAUGUAAAAAAAAACACUUACGCACUAAAUUAUUGGUUAGAACAAUGAAAUUUUCUUAAGGGGUUGAUUUACUCUUAACAAAUUAUAAUAGAUUUUAAUUUUUUUUACUGAAAAUUCAGCUUUUAUUGCAUCUCACCAUUUGUUGGCUUUUUCUCCCGUUUUAAAAGGCACGUUUUCCUAAAGGUCUAAGGAAACGUUUUCUUCCAACAUAAUGUUCUGUGCACUGCAGAAGGUCUUUUCUUUUGCCUUUUGGUAAAUGACCUAACAGAUUUAACAUUUUAUUGAAAUAAUUCCUAUGCCAUUAUUGUUAAAUUUGGUUUGCUUAGGAAAAGGAUAAUUUUUUUUUUUUGAGACAGAGUCUCACUCUGUUGCCCAGGCUAGAGUGCAGUGGCGCAAUCUCGGCUCACUUCAACCUCCACCUCCUGGGUUCAAGUGAUUCUUCUGCCUCAGCCUCCUGAGUAGCUGGGACUACAGGUGCACGCCAUCAUGCCUAGCUAAUUUUUGUAUUAUUAGUAGAGAUGGGGUUUCACCAUAUUGGCCAGGCUGGCCUUGAACUCCUGACCUCAUGAUCCGUCCCCCCUUGGCUUCCCAAAGUACUGGGAUUACAGGCAUGAGCCACCACACCCCGCUGAUAUUUAAUUUUUUAAAUUAAAGUUAUUACAUUUGUGUAUCUUCCUGUAUGUGCUUUUAAAGUUCUUGUGACAUUGAGUUACAGGGCUUUGACUGCUGGGUCUGAAAAGGACACCAAGUCCUGCUCAAUUUUUAAACAUUGACAGCAAUUAAAGCCCCAUCUUUGGGCCCAGUAGAAGAUGCCAAUCAAAAUCAACUGCAUUCCUGAAACACAGGGACAGAAAUUAAAGCUAUUCAACUCCUCAAGGCCCAUGGACUGUCUCGGUAGAGGAGGGUGCGUGAGAUUGUAAGGGCUGAUUUUAAAGAUAAAAUAAGUUCAAUUUCUCUAUAAAUUAAUCAUUAAUGUUGAAGGCACACUGAAGCAAGACCAGCAUAUGGGCCCCUGAGUCAAAUUAACAAGGUUUUCUUGAAGUAUUAACUGUCUCCUAUAUAAAGAUUGUAAAGGUUAUGAAAGGCUUAUGGAAGUUGUAUCUUAUGAUCAAGAUUAAAAUUUUAUAAUUUUUAAAUAAAAUUUUGAAAAACAAAUUUACUUGGCUUCUUGUGCACCUGUCCAAGAUUAAGCCCGUUUCUUAUGAGUCCCCACAGGCACCUGAGAAGGACACCAUGGCCUACACUUGUGAACCCUUAUAAUACCUAAAGCUGUUGUUUUAGAAAUAAACAGAUAAUGGGGCCAGGCGCAGACUCACGCCUGUAAUCCCAGCACUUUGGGAGGCCGAGGUGGGCGGAUCACGAGUUCAGGAGAUUGAGACCACGGUGAAACCCCGUCUCUACUAAAAAUACAAAAAAUUAGCUGGGCGCAGUGGCGGGCGCCUGUAGU